rnacentral:rRNA from 1 species
GAUGAACGCUGGCGGCGUGCCUCAAACAUGCAAGUCGAGCGGGGCUAUGUAAUACCGCAAGGUAGAACAUAGCCUAGCGGCGAACGGGUGAGUAACACGUGGGUAACCUGCCUGGAAGACAGGGAUAACGAUUCGAAAGGGUCGCUAAUACCUGAUAAUAUCCUUUCAUCGCAUGGUGAUAGGAAGAAAGGGGAAACCCGCUUUCAGAUGGGCCCGCGUCCCAUCAGCUAGUUGGUAAGGUAAAGGCUUACCAAGGCGACGACGGGUAGCCGGUCUGAGAGGAUGUACGGCCACACUGGGACUGAGAUACGGCCCAGACUCCUACGGGAGGCAGCAGUUGGGAAUCUUAGGCAAUGGACGAAAGUCUGACCUAGCGACGCCGCGUGAGGGAAGAAGGCCUUCGGGUUGUAAACCUCUGUCAUGGGGGAAGAAGUAAGUGACGGUACCCAAGAGGAAGCCCCUGCUAACUACGUGCCAGCCACCGCGGUAACACCAUACUCGCGU